rnacentral:rRNA from 1 species
GAUGAACGCUGGCGGCGUGCCUAAUACAUGCAAGUCGAGCGAACGGACGAGAAGCUUGCUUCUCUGAUGUUAGCGGCGGACGGGUGAGUAACACGUGGAUAACCUACCUAUAAGACUGGGAUAACUUCGGGAAGCCGGAGCUAAUACCGGAUAAUAUUUUGAACCGCAUGGUUCAAAAGUGAAAGACGGUCUUGCUGUCACUUAUAGAUGGAUCCGCGCUGCAUUAGCUAGUUGGUAAGGUAACGGCUUACCAAGGCAACGAUGCAUAGCCGACCUGAGAGGGUGAUCGGCCACACCGGAACUGAGACACGGUCCAGACUCCUACGGGAGGCAGCAGUAGGGAAUCUUCCGCAAUGGGCGAAAGCCUGACGGAGCAACGCCGCGUGAGUGAUGAAGGUCUUCGGAUCGUAAAACUCUGUUAUUAGGGAAGAACAUAUGUGUAAGUAACUGUGCACAUCUUGACGGUACCUAAUCAGAAAGCCACGGCUAACUACGUG